rnacentral:rRNA from 1 species
GACGAACGCUGGCGGCGUGCCUAAUACAUGCAAGUCGAGCGGACAGAAGGGAGCUUGCUCCCGGAUGUUAGCGGCGGACGGGUGAGUAACACGUGGGUAACCUGCCUGUAAGACUGGGAUAACUCCGGGAAACCGGAGCUAAUACCGGAUAGUUCCUUGAACCGCAUGGUUCAAGGAUGAAAGACGGUUUCGGCUGUCACUUACAGAUGGACCCGCGGCGCAUUAGCUAGUUGGUGGGGUAAUGGCUCACCAAGGCGACGAUGCGUAGCCGACCUGAGAGGGUGAUCGGCCACACUGGGACUGAGACACGGCCCAGACUCCUACGGGAGGCAGCAGUAGGGAAUCUUCCGCAAUGGACGAAAGUCUGACGGAGCAACGCCGCGUGAGUGAUGAAGGUUUUCGGAUCGUAAAGCUCUGUUGUUAGGGAAGAACAAGUGCGAGAGUAACUGCUCGCACCUUGACGGUACCUAACCAGAAAGCCACGGCUAACUACGUGCCAGCAGCCGCGGUAAUACGUAGGUGGCAAGCGUUGUCCGGAAUUAUUGGGCGUAAAGGGCUCGCAGGCGGUUUCUUAAGUCUGAUGUGAAAGCCCCCGGCUCAACCGGGGAGGGUCAUUGGAAACUGGGAAACUUGAGUGCAGAAGAGGAGAGUGGAAUUCCACGUGUAGCGGUGAAAUGCGUAGAGAUGUGGAGGAACACCAGUGGCGAAGGCGACUCUCUGGUCUGUAACUGACGCUGAGGAGCGAAAGCGUGGGGAGCGAACAGGAUUAGAUACCCUGGUAGUCCACGCCGUAAACGAUGAGUGUAAGGUGUUUAGGGGGUUUCCGCCCCUUAGUGCUGCAGCUAACGCAUUAAGCACUCCGCCUGGGGGAGUACGGUCGCAAGACUGAAACUCAAAGGAAUUGACGGGGGCCCGCACAAGCGGUGGAGCAUGUGGUUUAAUUCGAAGCAACGCGAAGAACCUUACCAGGUCUUGACAUCCUCUGACAACCCUAGAGAUAGGGCUUUCCCUUCGGGGACAGAGUGACAGGUGGUGCAUGGUUGUCGUCAGCUCGUGUCGUGAGAUGUUGGGUUAAGUCCCGCAACGAGCGCAACCCUUGAUCUUAGUUGCCAGCAUUUAGUUGGGCACUCUAAGGUGACUGCCGGUGACAAACCGGAGGAAGGUGGGGAUGACGUCAAAUCAUCAUGCCCCUUAUGACCUGGGCUACACACGUGCUACAAUGGACAGAACAAAGGGCUGCAAGACCGCAAGGUUUAGCCAAUCCCAUAAAUCUGUUCUCAGUUCGGAUCGCAGUCUGCAACUCGACUGCGUGAAGCUGGAAUCGCUAGUAAUCGCGGAUCAGCAUGCCGCGGUGAAUACGUUCCCGGGCCUUGUACACACCGCCCGUCACACCACGAGAGUUUGCAACACCCGAAGUCGGUGAGGUAACCUUCAUGGAGCCAGCCGCCGAAGGUGGGGCAGAUGAUUGGGGUGAAG